GAUGAACGCUGGCGGCGUGCCUAAUACAUGCAAGUCGAACGCUUUGUGGUUCAACUGAUUUGAAGAGCUUGCUCAGAUAUGACGAUGAACAUUGCAAAGAGUGGCGAACGGGUGAGUAACACGUGGGAAACCUACCUCUUAGCAGGGGAUAACAUUUGGAAACAGAUGCUAAUACCGUAUAACAAUGACAACCGCAUGGUUGUUAUUUAAAAGAUGGUUCUGCUAUCACUAAGAGAUGGUCCCGCGGUGCAUUAGCUAGUUGGUAAGGUAAUGGCUUACCAAGGCGAUGAUGCAUAGCCGAGUUGAGAGACUGAUCGGCCACAAUGGGACUGAGACACGGCCCAUACUCCUACGGGAGGCAGCAGUAGGGAAUCUUCCACAAUGGGCGAAAGCCUGAUGGAGCAACGCCGCGUGUGUGAUGAAGGGUUUCGGCUCGUAAAACACUGUUGUAAGAGAAGAAUGACAUUGAGAGUAACUGUUCAAUGUGUGACGGUAUCUUACCAGAAAGGAACGGCUAAAUACGUGCCAGCAGCCGCGGUAAUACGUAUGUUCCAAGCGUUAUCCGGAUUUAUUGGGCGUAAAGCGAGCGCAGACGGUUAUUUAAGUCUGAAGUGAAAGCCCUCAGCUCAACUGAGGAAUUGCUUUGGAAACUGGAUGACUUGAGUGCAGUAGAGGAAAGUGGAACUCCAUGUGUAGCGGUGAAAUGCGUAGAUAUAUGGAAGAACACCAGUGGCGAAGGCGGCUUUCUGGACUGUAACUGACGUUGAGGCUCGAAAGUGUGGGUAGCAAACAGGAUUAGAUACCCUGGUAGUCCACACCGUAAACGAUGAGUGCUAGGUGUUUGAGGGUUUCCGCCCUUAAGUGCCGCAGCUAACGCAUUAAGCACUCCGCCUGGGGAGUACGACCGCAAGGUUGAAACUCAAAGGAAUUGACGGGGACCCGCACAAGCGGUGGAGCAUGUGGUUUAAUUCGAAGCAACGCGAAGAACCUUACCAGGUCUUGACAUCCCUUGACAACUCCAGAGAUGGAGCGUUCCCUUCGGGGACAAGGUGACAGGUGGUGCAUGGUUGUCGUCAGCUCGUGUCGUGAGAUGUUGGGUUAAGUCCCGCAACGAGCGCAACCCUUAUUACUAGUUGCCAGCAUUCAGUUGGGCACUCUAGUGAGACUGCCGGUGACAAACCGGAGGAAGGUGGGGAUGACGUCAAAUCAUCAUGCCCCUUAUGACCUGGGCUACACACGUGCUACAAUGGCGUAUACAACGAGUUGCCAACACGCGAGGGUGAGCUAAUCUCUUAAAGUACGUCUCAGUUCGGAUUGUAGGCUGCAACUCGCCUACAUGAAGUCGGAAUCGCUAGUAAUCGCGGAUCAGCACGCCGCGGUGAAUACGUUCCCGGGUCUUGUACACACCGCCCGUCACACCAUGAGAGUUUGUAACACCCAAAGCCGGUGGGGUAACCUUCGGGAGCCAGCCGUCUAAGGUGGGACAGAUGAUUAGGGUG
rnacentral:rRNA from 1 species